rnacentral:tRNA from 1 species
GGAGGGGUGGCUGAGUGGUUUAAAGCGUAGCACCGGAAAUGCUAAGUAGAUAUACUUCUACCGAGGGUUCAAAUCCCUCCCCCUCCU